UACGUAGGGUGCGAGCGUUGUCCGGAAUUACUGGGCGUAAAGGGCCAGUAGGCGGCCAACUAAGUCGGAUGUGAAAUCCCCAGGCUUAACCUGGGAACUGCAUCCGAUACUGGAUGGCUUGAACUUCGGGAGAGGGAUGCAGAAUUCCAGGUGUAGCGGUGAAAUGCGUAGAUAUCUGGAGGAAUACCGGUGGCGAAGGCGGCAUCCUGGACCGACAUUGACGCUGAACGGCGAAAGCUAGGGGAGCGAAAGCAGG
rnacentral:rRNA from 1 species